UACGGAGGGUGCAAGCGUUAUCCGGAUUCACUGGGUUUAAAGGGUGCGUAGGCGGAUAGGUAAGUCCGUGGUGAAAUCCUGCAGCUUAACUGCAGAACUGCCAUGGAUACUAUUUAUCUUGAAUGUCGUGGAGGUUAGCAGAAUAUGUCAUGUAGCGGUGAAAUGCUUAGAUAUGACAUAGAAUACCCAUUGCGAAGGCAGCUAACUACGCGAUAAUUGACGCUGAUGCACGAAAGAGUGGGAGGUCAAACAGG
rnacentral:rRNA from 1 species